GCGUCUCUCCGAAGCCUAGUGUGGGGCGGGGGGUGGGGGAGCGCCCAGUAAAGAUUUGUUGAGUGAAUGACUGAGCGAAGAAAAGGAAGAACGUUACUUUAUGCUACUGAACAGGCCAGUCUCCAUCUUUGGGCCUCAGUUCCGUUUUCUGUAAAGUGGGGGCGAGAGAGCGUAGAACGAGGGAACAAGGACGUGCCUGCACAUGUUUAACAACCAAGGGGAGAAAGAGCCUGUGUUUGUGGCAACUGCCAAUUCCCAUGGUGUAAAUUGUGUCGCCGUGGCCGACUGCGGUGUGAACAACGGGCUGUCACUAGCAGGUGCAAGCCGCGUCUGGCUCACCACUGCAGGCCGACCUGGAAGGGCCCGAGCCUCCAUGGCACUCACUGGUCGCGUCCUUGCACGAGGGCCCCUGUUGGGAGCCUGGGGGGAGGGGAGCAGGCUGCUCCCCGCCCUCGUCGCCACCCCCAGCACCCCCAAUUAUCUCUUAGAUCCAGUCCCGGGAACCGGACGCUUGCACCCGGGCCGCCUGGUGCCCUGGUUGCCAGUAUCCUAGGGCGCUUCCGUGCCCUCCGGGCGGACAGCUCUCUGUGACUCUCCCCAGCAGCCUUUGCAGACGAUUUAAGGCCGGUUGCUUGGCCCAGGCCCUGACAUCAGACUGUGCCGGGUCCCCGUGUUUGUGUGCCCCGCUUUCCCGACUGCGCUGACCUGGCCCGGGCUGCCUGGAAGCAGGGGCUGUGUCCAGGCUCAGUUUUGCUCUUGCUUGACCUCUAACCCCUGACCCUGCUGGUCCCACCCUCCUCCUCCAAACUCUUUAUUCCCGCCCCCCGCCACUGGGUGCCCCUCUCCCGUCUCCUCUGCCCACCUCUCCUCCUGUGUCACCGGCCAGUGGAUCCCCUGCCUGCAGUCGCUUCCUCUGUCACACGCUUCCGGCUCCCUUUCUGCCCAGCUGUCCCAGUGGAAGCCCCGGGUGUGGCUGUUCCCCGAGCCGGGCUCUAGGUGCCUACUGCCUGCGGGCCCUCUGCAAAUUCCUUCUCUCUCUCAACCUGUUUCCCCAUCUAUAAAAUGAAGAUAAUAGCAGCAGUUACCUCCCGGGGUUGUUGCCUGGUGGGUGGGAGGAGGCAUGUAAACUCCCACCGCGUCUAGUGCACAGAAGGUGCUUCCUAAAUGCUCAGGGCUCACCUUAGUCAUCCCUUCCUCCCGAAUGCAGCCUGGGGGAAGGGGGGGCCUGGCUCGGGGUGCUCACUGCACGUGCGUGGUCCCCGAGGGCACGAGCCCGCCGGGGCACAGGUGGUAACGCCGGUGAAGGAGCGAGGGAGGGAGUGGACACCGGCUGCCCGGAGGACGCGGCGCACCAGUCGGGAGGCCAGCAGGUGGCGCCAGCGCCCGCGGGGCUGUGCCCGGGGCCACCUCCCUGCCCUUGCUGAGGAGCCCCGGCUGGCGGGCUCAGGGACAGACAUUUCCUUCGGGGCGUCCGGCCUCACUUGGCCGGCGGGGGGGGGGGGGGGGGAGAUGCGGGGGAAAGGGGCCUGGCUGAGGGGUUCAGGGCACGGACCGUGCGGUGGGGACGUGAAAUGAGAGGGCAUUCAGUCGGGCGGACCCAUGGGGCCUGCAGUCACUCUGGCCAGCCCUGCGACCCUUGGGAGCGACCAUCAGCACCAGGGAGCGUGGGCUCCAGGAACCUCCUCUCUGCCCCAGCGGCUUCCUGUCGGUGCCCUCCCCUCCCACUUCUGUACCCCAGUUUCCACGGGGCCUGUGGCUGGGGGUAAGAACCCACCGACUCCCAGGGAGAAGCCUGCAGAACAGAGACCUCACCCCAAGGAGGUGGGUAAGAAAGAACGUGCUGCAUGUCUGUCCUGUGCGCAGCACAGGUCUUGUGCCCUGGGAAGGGGUGUCAAUUCCUGUCCUGCACACAGACUCCUAAACUCAGCCAUGACAGUGGGUGGGAGCCCUGAGGGUGGUGGACAGAGGGAUGAGGAGGGCGGCCCUGCCCUGCCAGUGCCUCCUCGCAGGUUCUGAGCCCUCCUGCUCUUCCUGAAAGUGCCCGUCUGCUUCACGGGGGUCUGGGACUAGCUGUCCCCCUCCCUUCUCCCUCCCGGCGUCUGACUAAUCUUUCCUGGCAGGGCAGCACAUCCUGCCCCCCUGUGCCCAUGCCAGCAACAGCCCACAUCACAUGGGCCACAUCUGGCUCCCUUCGAGCACAUCCUCCCCGCCUUUGUCCCUCCUCCUUCUCUGCCUGGGGGCCUGAGCAGGGAGUGCCCCUGAGGACCCCCCUUUGCUGUCCUGCCCCCUCACAGUGGCAGACUGGCUCCUUCCCCUCCUUUCCACCUCCUAAGUCCUGGACAUCUGGACUCCAUCCUUCAGUGACCCCUUCCUCAACAUAUCCUGACUCCUUGGAUCACCCCCCUUUCCAGCUCCUACUGAAUAGCCCAUUGGGAAGGGGGGCUUUUGCAAGGUUUGAGCCCCCAGGACUGUCCUAGGGUGGGGGAAAGCCUGGCAGCCGAGGGAUUAAAUCCCCUGAGCCCAGCCCCCUGGCCUGUGGCCAGCCUGGGGUGGGGGUGGGGGGUGGAUAGAGGUGACCCCAAGAGCUGCGUGCAUGGAGGGGUAGGAGUGAGCCUGGGCGGGAGGAGGGAGGGCUGAGGGGAGCGGUUUGGCUCACCCUCUCCCUGCAGUCUUUUGUGAGGGAUAGGGAGGAGCCUGGAAGGCCCUCCAGCUACUGGCCUCCCUCCUCCUUCCUCCGUGCUUAGCAACCGUUGUUGCUGGGUAAAUAUUUGCCCCACCAGGAUCUGGGGCUGGAGCGUGGGUGUCAGCCUAGGCAGCGGCCCCUCUCCUCAAUUCCUGGGCCUCUCCUCUGUCCAGCUCUCCUUUCCAAAGCCCUCUGGCCUGGAUUCAAGAUGUGACCCCCACUGCCUUGUCCCAAAGCUCCGUUCCUCCUCCCCCCUCACAGUAGACCUCUUCCCAGGCUCCUCCCUUCACCCUCUCUGAUCUCUCCCUUCAUUCCCACUUGCCGUCUGUGCUCACCUCUCUGAAUCCACCUUCUGCCCCUGAACCACAAAGGUACCUGGGGGAGACCUCACCCCUGAGCCGAAUAGGUCCCUGCCACAUCCCACUGGGAGCCCAGCCUGGCUUUCCCU